rnacentral:rRNA from 1 species
UACGUAGGUGACCAGCGUUGUCCGGAUUUACUGGGCGUAAAGGGCGCGUAGGCGGGUCCGCAAGUCGAUCGUGAAAUCCUUCGGCUCAACUGAAGGGGGUCGGGUCGAUACUGCGGGUCUUGAGGGAUGCAGAGGAGACUGGAAUUCCCGGUGUAGCGGUGAAAUGUGUAGAGAUCGGGAGAAACACCGGUGGCGAAGGCGGUUCUCUGGGCCUUGACCUGACGGCUGAGGAGCGAAAGCGUGGGGGAGCGAACAGGAUUAGACUA